UCUCAUCAGAAUUCUAUAGAAAAUCGGGUACAGUUUCUCCUGUUUUUGGGCCUAACAAGAAAGUUUCCUGUCUCAAUUCAACAACAAAACAACUCACAGCACAAUCACCAUACAAACACCAACACAAUUCACCAUAGAUCAUCAACAAUUCACCAAUACCACCAACUAACAAUAUAGAGUCCAUCUCCAAAAAUAAGAGGAGUCAAAUACUCCACAAAUUGAAAAUAAUGAAAGAAUACUCAAGCUCUAAAGACAUGACUUCGGAGCAAACUAAGAGGUUUCAAGAAAAAGAAACAUAACGAAUAAAUAAACUUUAGCCCACACGAACAAUUGUGGGGCUCACCAGGAAUAUGCUACUCGGAUCCUCUAGCCAACGUGAUCAUCACCGUCACCUGCGUUCUCUGAAAAAUAAUAGCGAGGAGUGAGAUGCUAGAUCAGUGAGUAAUAACACUUAACCACAACCGUUUAAGUGGGGACUAGUCAUAAAACAUCAUGAAAUAAUGCUCUUUCAGAAAACUAUAAAGAUAAACAAUAUCAUUGUUUCAUGUAAGCCAAGAACCAAUAGUUCAGUAAUAAACUCAAAAAUCAUUGAAUCAUAUCAAAUAUUACAUAUUUGGGAGGUUUCCAAGAAUGAAUCAUGUAAUCAGUAUGACAUUCUUCUUCAUUAAGAAUAGCCUAUAACAGUGGACCCCUCAUAAAGGAGUCAAAUAUCAUAUCUGUAUUAGCAUGCUAGUUUUACCUUUCUACUAGCGAGGGCUGUAACAGUCAUCAGUAAAUACAAGGUGCACCAGGUCUAACGAUCCCGUUGUUAUCUACGGGAUUCAAAUCAAGGUCUACUCCCACUUAUAAAUUCUUUGUAAACAAUAGGAUAUUCAUAUGAAAGCAUUUUUCAGAAUAAUACAUAUCAUUGAAAGUUAAUAUCAAAUGAUGUUACAUGUAAACUUGAAAAAAAUACAUGUCAAAAUACAUAUUUCUCAUUUAAGUGAAGAAUAUUUACAGUAAUAAUUUCAUAUCUCAAAUAAUCAUUUCAUAUCAUAUCAAGUAAAGGACUUGCCCCACAUGCAAUUUCAAAGCAUUUCGUAACUCAUUAUUUCAUCAAAAUCAAGUAUAAAAUAUGAAAUUUAACAAACACAAAUCAUGGUAAUAUUACUACUCACAAUACUCUUGUCGAAUUAUUAAAUUUGUCACCUCGAAUGAUUCGUAUCGCUUUCUUGGAUCAAAUCUAUAAUCACAUCAUAUCAAUAUCGGAUUAAUUCUCUUGGUUAGGCUAAUUCCAUGAUAAAAUUAGACUACCCAACCCUCAGAGUUCCAUGAUAACCUUCAAUUUCUCAAACUUCAUGUCCAAAAUCGCACCUUAAUAUGCUUAAUCUCGUCUUUGAUAAUUAAAUUUAACUAUACAAAAUAAAUUACGUAGACUAAAAAUCAAAAUAAAAAUGUAUCAAAAGGUUUACCUUAAACCCGAAAGAAUGUUCCGAUCAAUCCUUAUUGCUUUCUUGUUUAAAAGGAAUCGUGGGUUGAAAAUUUUUGCUUUUUCCUUCUGCUUCGAGCUAGCUUGGCAGCAGUACUGCCUUUGCCAACUUGACAUGUCCUUUUAAAGGAAAAAG
rnacentral:lncRNA from 1 species